rnacentral:rRNA from 1 species
UACGAAGGAUUCGAGCGUUAUCCGGAUUUAUUGGGUUUAAAGGGUGCGUAGGUGGACUAAUAAGUCAGUGGUGAAAGCCCGCAGCUUAACUGCGGAACUGCCAUUGAUACUGUUAGUCUUGAGUACAGUUGAGGUGGGCGGAAUGUGUCAUGUAGCGGUGAAAUGCUUAGAUAUGACACAGAACACCGAUUGCGAAGGCAGCUCACUAAGCUGUAACUGACACUGAGGCACGAAAGCGUGGGGAUCAAACAGG